rnacentral:rRNA from 1 species
GGUGAACGCUGGCGGCGCGCCUAAUACAUGCAAGUCGAGCGACACACUUCGGGUGUGAGCGGCAAACGGGUGAGUAACACGUGGGAACCUGCCUCAAAGUGGAGGAUAGUUCGCCGAAAGGCGGAGUAAUACUCCAUGUGCUCUUACGAGCAAAGAUGCAAAUCGCUUUGAGAGGGGCCUGCGUCCGAUUAGCUUGUUGGUAGGGUAACGGCCUACCAAGGCUACGAUCGGUAGCUGGUCUGAGAGGACGACCAGCCACACUGGGACUGAGACACGGCCCAGACUCCUACGGGAGGCAGCAGUAGGGAAUCUUCCGCAAUGCGCGAAAGCGUGACGCAGCAACGCCGCGUGGGAGAC